AUGCCUCCGCCUCGCCGCGCGCUCCUCUCCUCCCUCCUCCGCCUCCGCGCCUGCUCCUCCCUUGCCCACCGCCCACCGCGGCCGCCGCCGCCCUCCUCGCGCCGCCACCAGUUCGUCGCCGACCCCAACGCCGCCGCCGGCACGGGACGAAGCAGCGUCGGCGGCAACCCCUUGGACCCCACCCAGCUCCUCCGCGACGACCCGGUGUCCAUCACCGCGUCGCUGUGGGUCUCCUCCUUCCGCGCCGCCGCGCCUGGCGACGCCGCUCCGCCGCCGCCGCCGACGCUGGCCCCCUUCCUCACUCGCCUCGAGCUCUGGGUGCUCGCCUACCAGAAGGCGUACGCGGACGAGACCGGCUCCUACCUACCCCGCUCCUCCAUCCCCGCCUCCACGCUCACCUCCAUCCUCACCCUCCGCAACGCCGUCAUCGACGCCCGCUUCCGCUUCGGCAACCGCCUCACACCCUACCUCCACUCCCCGCGCGCCGCGGCGUCCCCGGACCCCGCCACCCUCUCCAAGCGCAAGCUCCGCGCCCUCCUCACCACCCCGGGCCCGGCCCCCUUCCAGGACCGCGUCGUGCAAGAGCUGCUCCUGCUGCUGCUCGAGCCAGUGUAUGAGGCGCGGUUCUCGCCCAAGUCCUUCGCCUUCCGCCCUGGGCGAUCCCCGCAUGCCGCACUCCGUAGCAUCCGCAGGAGCUGGGCGCCCUACCUCUGGUACAUCAAGGGAGACCUCUCCCCGCUGCUUGAUUCCCCCGACCCUGCGCUCGUGGUCGGCGCACUCAUCCGUGAUGUGCGUGACAAGAAAGUCGUCGAUUUAGUCCGCUCGGCGCUGCUUACUCCAGUGGUGACCGCGAGGCCUGGUGAUGAUGAUGCAUCAAAGAAGAAGAAGAAGAGGAAGUACCAGAAAAAGAAGGUGCUGCCGGAAGGGGAGCCGAAGCCUGACCCCUACUGGUUGCAGACAUUCUUUGGGUUUGCACCAGAGGAGGCUCUGACUCAGCCUGAUUGGGGGCAUUGCGGGGUGCUGAGCCCGUUGCUCGCCAAUGUCUGUCUGGAUGAGUUUGAUAAAUGGAUGGAUGAGAAGAUUGAGGAGUUCUACAAGCCGUCCAAGUCGGAUGUUGUGGGAGGGGAGGAUGGCAUUGAGCAGGGGAAUACAUCAUGGCCGGAGUUUGUACCCACGAGCGGGCCUGACAAAACAAGGAAGGUGGACUAUAUUCGGUUUGGCGGGCAUUUCUUGAUUGGGGUGAGGGGGCCUAGGGCUGAUGCUGCAGUGAUCCGAAAGCAGCUCAUUGAAUUUUGUGAUCAGCGGUUCAGGAUCAAGCUUGACAAUGAGAGCCUCCCAAUUGAACACAUCACUAAAGGGAUCAUGUUUCUUGAUCAUGUGUUGUGUCGCCGUGUCGUGUACCCAACCCUCCGUUACACAGCCACUGGAGGUAAGAUCAUUAGCGAGAAGGGGGUUGGUACUCUGCUCUCGGUUACAGCCAGUUUGAAGCAGUGCAUCAGGCAGUUCCGGAAGCUAGAGUUUUUAAAGGGAGACCGUGAGCCAGACCCACAGCCAUGUUUCCGGAUGUUCCAUGCCACGCAAGCUCACACUAACUUGCAGAUGAAUAAGCUUUUAACGACGAUGGCAGAAUGGUAUCGCUACGCUGAUAACCGCAAAAAGGUUGUCAACUUUUGCUCGUACAUUAUAAGGGGGUCCUUGGCAAAGUUAUAUGCCGCCAAGUAUAAGCUGCGAUCAAGGGCAAAGGUUUAUAAGAUUGCAUCAAGGAAUCUUAGUCGACCAUUGAAGGAUAAGAAAGGGCAGUCACCAGAGUACACCAAUUUGCUGAGAAUGGGUCUUGUAGACUCAGUUGAUGGACUUCAGUAUACAAGGAUGUCAAUGGUUCCUGAUCCUGACUAUACACCAUUACCAAGCGGGUGGCGCCCGGACCACGAGAAGUUUUUGCUAGAAUAUAUAAAGCUCACAGAUCAACAAACACUGGAAGAGCAGCGGAGUUGCAUUAGAGAGGAGGGGCUUAUAACACCACAGGAUCACAUUUCAAUGCUUGUAUGGAGCUACAAGAAAAAUGCAGUUUUACUACCUUCUUCAAAAGAGAGUGAUGUCCAAGAAUCCAUAGAAGACCUUGGUUCAGAUACAGAUGAAUUGAAUAACAAGGAGCUAGGGCAUGGAGGCCAUCAGGGUUUUCCACAACCUACUGAAAUGUCUUGA
rnacentral:rRNA from 1 species